rnacentral:rRNA from 1 species
GGCGAGUGAGCGGGAAGAGCUCAAAUUUGAAAUCUGGCAGUCUUCGAUUGUCCGAGUUGUAAUCUAUAGAGGCGUUUUCCGUGCCGGACCGUGUCCAAGUCUCCUGGAAAGGAGUAUCAAAGAGGGUGAUAAUCCCGUACUUAACACGACCACCGGUGCUCUGUGAUACGUCUUCUACGAGUCGAGUUGUUUGGGAAUGCAGCUCAAAAUGGGGUGGUGAAUUCCAUCUAAAGCUAAAUAUUGGCGAGAGACCGAUAGCGAACAAGUACCGUGAGGGAAAGAUGAAAAGCACUUUGGAAAGAGAGUUAAACAGUACGUGAAAUUGUUGAAAGGGAAACGAUUGAAGUCAGUCGUGUUCUUUGGAUUCAGCCAGUUCUGCUGGUCUACUUCCUUUGAACGGGUCAACAUCAGUUUUGUCCGGUGGAUAAAGGCAGUAGGAAUGUAGCUUCUCCGGAAGUGUUAUAGCCUAUUGUCACAUACACUGGGUGAGACUGAGGACUGCAGCUCGCCUUUAUGGCCGACCUUCGGGUACGUUCGAGCUUAGGAUGUUGACAUAAUGGCUUUAAACAACCCGUCUUGA